UACGUAGGGGGCAAGCGUUGUCCGGAUUUAUUGGGCGUAAAGAGCGUGUAGGCGGCCAGAUAGGUCCGUUGUGAAAACUCGAGGCUCAACCUCGAGACGCCGAUGGAAACCAUUUGGCUAGAGUCCGGAAGAGGAGAGUGGAAUUCCCAGUGUAGUGGUGAAAUACGCAGAUAUCAGGAAGAACACCUAUGGCGAAGGCAGCUCUCUGGGACGGUACUGACGCUGAGACGCGAAAGCGUGGGGAGCGAACAGG
rnacentral:rRNA from 1 species